CACUAUUUUCCUGCAGUCCCAACUCGCUCAGCGUCCCGCGGGGCUGACUUCAGCGCUGACAGCCGGCCCGCCCCGUGCACGGAGGAGCCACUGGCAGUGAGAUUUCAGGAGGGGUUUCCAUGGCAACCGGGGGCACCGCACAGAGCAUCUGCCCAUCCCUGGAAGGCCUCUGGCACCCACCAGGAGCAAUGUGAAUGAUUCAGUGUAGACCGGGUCACGUGAGCUCUGGGGUUUAACCCUAGUAGAGCCAGAGUUGUUGCAGGU